rnacentral:rRNA from 1 species
CGCAUCUGUGCAUGCAGCAUAUCAAUAAGCGGAGGAAAAGAAACUAACUAAGGAUUCCCCUAGUAACAGGCGAGUGAAGCGGGAAGAGCUCAAAUUUGAAAUCUUAAAGGGUUUCCCUUUACGAAUUGUAGUUUAAAGAAGUGUUUUCUGUUGAGGUUUUGGUAAAAGUUCUUUGGAAUAGGACAUCAUAGAGGGUGAGGAAUCCCGUAUUUGACCUUUACUUUCAACUUUGUGAUACACUUUCAAAGAGUCGGAUUGUUUGGGAAUGCAGUCCAAAAUGGGUGGUAAAUUUCAUCUAAAGCUAAAUAUUGGCGAGAGACCGAUAGCGGACAAGUACCGUGAGGGAAAGAUGAAAAGAACUUUGAAAAGAGAGUUAAACAGUACGUGAAAUUGUCAAAAGGGAAGCGUUUGACACCAGUGUUGUUUUUCUGAAAAUCAAUUAAAGAACUGUUUAUGCUAAGUUGUUUAGACUUUAUCAGCUAUCUGUUUAGUUUUGAGCUUUUCUUUAAUGCACUUUUCAGUUAACAAGUCAACAUCAAUUUCUUUUGCUGUAAAAAAGCUUGAGGAAGGUGGCUUGAGAUUCGUCUUAAGUGUUUAUAGCCUCUUGCCUAUGCAGUCGGAGAGAUUGAGGUCUGCAGCGUAGAUCCUUCGGGGCUAAAUGCAUUUGUGCUAAGUUAUAGCAUUUUAUAGACAACUUGUUGACUAUGAUUUGUCUUGUAGCUUACUCGCUUAUGUUAUUUUACCUACGCUUAGGAUGUUGAAUCUGUGCGAGACUAC